rnacentral:lncRNA from 1 species
GAAGCCGGGCGUGGUGGUGCAGGCUUUUAAUCCCAGCUCUCGAGAAGCAGAGGCAGGCGGAUUUCUGAUUUCGAAGCCAGCCUGGUCUACAAAGUGAGUUCCAGGACAGCCUGGGCUACACAGAGAAACCCUGUCUUGAACCAACCCCCCCCCCCCAAACAAACAAACAAACCUGAAGGAAGCUUGAGCAACACAGCAAAACCUGCAAAAUUUGUUUUUAAAGAGAUUUAUUUAUUUUUAUAAACUUUGCUCUUGUCAUUUUCCCUAAACAAUAUAAUUUGUCAACUAUUUGCACAUCACCCGCACUGUUUUAGGUAGAAUCAGAAAUGAUCGCAGUGUUGAGAACAACGUGUGUAGGUAGUUUGUAAAUAUACAUCUCUGUUCCUGAGGGACUUUGGUGCCCACAGAUUUUGUUAUCCAUGUGGUUUGGGGGGAUCCUGGAACUAGACUAUCAUAGAUGGAGAGACAACCAUAUUUGCUGUGCUACUUCCCUCUGGGGAAACUGAGGUAUAGGGAGACCCGCUGACUCCUGGGGCUAACAUGAAAGUAGAGGGUCCCUGAACAUCAGGCCCAGGGUUCUGACUCAUGUGCCUCAGUUUGCCCAUAGAUUUUCUUUUUCUUAUUUUUAAGAUUUAUUUAUUUAUUAUAUGUAAGUACACUGUAGCUGUCUUCAGGCACCCCAGAAGAGGGCAUCAGAUCUCAUUACAGAUGGUUGUGAACCACCAUGUGGUUGCUGGGAUUUGAACUCAGGACCUUUGGAAGAGCAGUCAGUGCUCUUAACCACUGAGCCAUCUCUCCAGCCCAUUGUUGUUUUUAAAGAUAUAUUUUUUAGAUUUUAAUGUGUGUGAGUGAGAUUUAUUAGCCGGGCGUGGUGGCCGCACGCCUUUAAUUCCAGCACUCGUGAGACAGAGGCAGGCAGAUUUCUGAGUUCGAGGCCAGCCUGGUCUACAAAGUGAGUUCCAGGACAGCCAGGGCUAUACGGAGAAACCCUGUCUUAAAAAACCAAAAAAGAAAAAAAAAAAAAAGAGAGAGAGAGAUUUAUUGCAGGGCACGCCUUUAAUCCUAGGAUUUGGGAGGCAGAUGCAGGCCGAUCUCUGAGCUCUGAUCUACAGAACUAGUUCCAGGACAGCCAGGCCUACACAGAGAAAUCGUGUCUUGAAAAACAAAACAGCAGGCGGGGAGUGGUGGCGAAUGCCUUUAAUCCCAGCAUUUGGAAGGCAGAGACAGGUGGAUUUCUGAGUUUGAGGCCAGCCUGGUCUACAAAGUGAGUUCCAGGACAGCCCUAAAAAAAAAAAAGAAAGAAAGAAAGAAAGAAAGAAAGAAAGAAAGAAAGAAAGGAAGGAAGAAGGAAGAAAGAAAGAAAGAAAGAAAGAAAGAAAGAAAGAAAGAAAGAAAGAAAGAAAGAAAGACCAACAAAACCAAAGGGGAAGGGUGUUGUGUCAAUAUUUUAUGAGGAGCUGUGACUAUACUGAGCAAAUUCUUCCCUAGCUCUAAAUACCACUGUAUAAAUUUGUUAAUGUGUUUAUGUGUAAAUGCACAGAGAUAUAAUCCUAAUUAUUAAUGGUUUCUAUAAUAAGAGACUAUUAUCCUUCUGGUUAGUUUCUGGUACAGAAUAUAAGACCCACCAACAAAGGAAGUCAUUAUAAGCAUUGUGGGAGGGGCGUGUCUGGCCCAGUGGUUUCUGCUAGCUACACUGAUGUGUUGCUAUAAAUGAUAUGAUUUUCAGUGUUCAUGAUUUCAAAAUAUCGCAUAAUUACCAUUCAGCACAUUGGGGUGGGAGAUGCUUUUGUAUUAAUUCAUUAUCACUUGACUCAGGUCAUGAAUUUAUAAUAAGCCACAGCUUUUUGUUUCUUUUCAAAACAAGAAAAAUAUCAAGUAUGGAAGGUUAUAAAAUAUAAUACUAGGUGUGAGAAUUAGGUUUUUACGUUCCAAAAAAAAAAAAAAAGUCAGGAUGGUCACUUUCAUCACUCCAAGAGUAACAGCCAUAGGUAAAAUACUAUCUCUAAUGCUUGUGAAUUGCUAGAAAAAUCUGAACAGUAAAGAACUUUUCAACAGAAACUAUAGCAUUGAUGGGUGCAUUGGCACAUUCAGUACUCAGGAGGCUAACACAGGAAGAUCAGGAGUUCUAGGAUAGCCUAAGCUACCUCACCAGACUUAAAAAGAAAGGAAGAGAGAAAAGAAAUGAGGGAGGGAUGAAGGAAAAAUGAAAAGAACUAAAUUAUAUACUCAGUUUUGUGCCUGGUUAAAACAAAACAAAACAAAACAAAACAAACAAAGAAACAGGCUGAAUAUAAAUUCAACAACCACUAAACCUUUGUGGAAUGAGGUAGGGUUAAAAUCCAAAGACCAGAAGCAUAAUCAGCUCAAUGCCCAGAUGACCUCUCAUUUCCUAUGGUACAAUGUUAACUUUACUGCUACUAUAAGGAACAGAAUUCAGAAUAAAACCAAUUCUAAGAAGGAAUUAUCUUUGAUGCAAUAUUCUAGGAGGAUAGUAUCCAUUUACACUCAGGGUAUAGUCAGAAAUGACACAUGAAAUAAAAGUAGCUUGGAUCAUGCAUAUAUUUAAUAGUAAAACGGUCAUUAACAAUAAAAAUUAGAAAAUUUGGUGAGACCUCAGUGCUGUGAAAGAAAAUGAGACAAGUAAAAAAGACAGCAAGUGUCCCAGGAGGUGAUGCCAGGAGUCAGCAGAGGCAAACUGGGCUGACAGUUACAGAGUCUACGGAACGGGUAAAAACGUCCCUAUGUAUCUGAGUCUUGGAAGCAGGCAUUCUUACUGUAGACUGCACAGAAUGGAGGCAGUUACAGUGAGGCAGGACAGAAGAGCAAUGAGAAAUCAGGAUAAGGAGAUGGGGAAACCAGGAUACAAUUACAUAGAGAUGACUCUAAGGCCUUUUGUUUCUUCUAAACUCUUAAGUUUUAAAGCAUGUCACUUAAUUCCAGAUGGUGAGUUGCAGAGUACAGUAAGGGAACGGUGGGAUGGACUGGGAUGACAGGUGCCUGCUCUCAGAGAGCUUACAGCCUAUGUGAGACAGAUGCUUCCCCCUCACCCACCCUGGGUUCACUACAAAACAUUUAUAACGUGAAACACAUACAAAUAAAUAUACAUAUGGAUAACGUAGGAAUGCUAAGAAGUACUGUGUUAACAACUUCGUAGGGCUCCCUAGGUCAGUCAGUGAGGGUUUCCUAAAGGAAAAGAGUGUCAGUAUGAUGGUAGUGGAGGGUCAGAGGGUAGAGUUUGUGCAAAGGUACAGAAGUUGGGAUAAAUAUGUCAUUUCAGUAACCAAUUAGCUUGAUUAGAGGAAAUAUCUAACAGAGCUGGUUAGAGAGAAUAAACAGCCACCUGGGAGUCUGAAGCCUCAGGAUCCCAAGUUCAAAGCCAGCCUCAGCAACCUGUCUGUAAACAAAAAGUGUAAGUAAGAGAAGGCUCCUGAGGGCACAGCUCAGGUUCAGCACUUCCUAAGCAUGUUUAAGAACCUAGCUUAAUCUCCAGGGCAUGUGCACGGGCUCGCAUGUGUGCCUGUGUGUGUGUGUGUGUGUGUGUGUGUGUGUGUAACAGUAGAGAGAGCAAUUCGGUAAAAGAAAAUGUAAUGCUAGAACUGGUCCUUUAAGCAAAAUGAACAACUUAUGUUUUCUUAGGUAAGGGUGUGUGGCGACAGGUCCGGUACCCACUCCACUGCUUUCUACGUUCUGUAGUUAAGGAAAAGAACUAGCAAUGAAAAAGGCCAGCAAGCCUUGCCUAAGCAUGGCACUCUAGAGAUGUGGGGCCCAUGUGCGGGGAUCCUAAGGAAUGAUGCUCAAGGUUGUACACACAUAAUAAAUAAAAAGGAGCUGGCAACGAGACAGUGCAGAGGCACUCAGCUUCUAUAGGAACUCUUAUCAUAUGACACACAGGUUUCCAAGGCAAGGAAAUACACGCAAUGAAAUCACUAUGUAUAGAUCUAUCACCCAAAGGCUACUCAGACCCUUAAUUCUAAAUGUUAUAUCAGAAUAUCCUUCACCUUAGCAACUAAAAAUUGGGUGAGGAACAGACACAUGUAUUUAUUCCUUUCUCUCUUUUCUUUUUGGCUUUUUUAGACAGAUGGCCUAGGGAAACUUAUGUAGCCCAGACUGACUCCAAAACUCCUGGCAAUCCUUUUGCCAAAAGUCCUGAGUGCUGAAAUUAUGGGUAUGUGCCAUAACACCUAGCAAAUAGAUGUUGACAGCAAGUUGUUUGCCUUUUAGCUACUGUGACAAUCAACUUUGAUUCUAACAUUUUAGAAACUAGAGGGUGAAAGAGCCAUAAUCUACGCGGAAUGCUCAUGUCCCUAAAGGAGGACAGGUCGGAAAGGGCCCAAUUUUCUCCUCAUGUUUUAAGUGGAAGGGUGAAACAUCGCACACUGAAAAGAGGCUGCUCUCAGCCUAAGCAACGAGGAUCUCCUUCGUGGCGCUGGCUGACCUGAAGCUGCUCCCCGAGAGGAAAGAGAAAGCGCUCACUCAGGCCCGGUGUUCAGCAGCAGCCAGAGUCAGGCCCUAUGUCAGAAACGUUCUGCUGAGGGGAGCACGGUCCUACUGAGGAGGUAAUUGACUGCUGGGGCCCAAUCUUGAUGCCAUUUGCCUGUAAAGGAGAAAGGCAGCAAUUCCUGCAUCAGAGCUGAAGAGAAUUCGAAGGAAGGACAGAGAUACAGGAGAACCCUUUAGUUAAAUUCUAAGAAUUGUGUCCUCUAGACAAACUGUUGAAAGAGUGAGAUGACUGGUUAUGAGGAGAGCCAGUUGGUGAGGGUGGAGUUGGCUUGUUUCAAGAUGCACACAGAUUUCAUAGCUGUCUACAGAAUUCAGGUGUGACGGAGGGGGCGCUCAGCAGGGGAAAUACUUGCCAUAUAAGCAUGACGACCACAAUUAGAUCCCUAGAAACCAGACAGAAGCCAGACGGGCAUAGCAGCUCACCUACAAUCCCAGUCCUUAGAAGCAAAGAUACAGGGAGUCCCCAGAGCAAACCUGCCUCAGUGUGUAAGGUGAACAGCAAUG